CACCUAUAAUCGUUUUAAUCGAUGGGGGGACGCAGUAGGAUAGGCGAAGCGUGCGAUUGGAUUGCACGUCUAAGCAGUAAGGCUGAGUAUUAGGCAAAUCCGGUACUCGUUAAGGCUGAGCUGUGAUGGGGAGAAGACAUUGUGUCUUCGAGUCGUUGAUUUCACACUGCCGAGAAAAGCCUCUAGAUAGAAAAUAGGUGCCCGUACCGCAAACCGACACAGGUAGUCAAGAUGAGAAUUCUAAGGUGAGCGAGCGAACUCUCGUUAAGGAACUCGGCAAAAUGACCCCGUAACUUCGGGAGAAGGGGUGCUCUUUAGGGUUAACGCCCAGAAGAGCCGCAGUGAAUAGGCCCAAGCGACUGUUUAUCAAAAACACAGGUCUCUGCUAAACCGUAAGGUGAUGUAUAGGGGCUGACGCCUGCCCGGUGCUGGAAGGUUAAGAGGAGUGGUUAGCUUCUGCGAAGCUACGAAUCGAAGCCCCAGUAAACGGCGGCCGUAACUAUAACGGUCCUAAGGUAGCGAAAUUCCUUGUCGGGUAAGUUCCGACCCGCACGAAAGGCGUAACGAUUUGGGCACUGUCUCAACGAGAGACUCGGUGAAAUCAUAGUACCUGUGAAGAUGCAGGUUACCCGCGACAGGACGGAAAGACCCCGUGGAGCUUUACUGUAGCCUGAUAUUGAAAUUCGGCACAGCUUGUACAGGAUAGGUAGGAGCCUUU
rnacentral:rRNA from 1 species